rnacentral:rRNA from 1 species
UACAGAGGGUGCGAACGUUGCUCGGAAUUACUGGGCGUAAAGCGCGUGUAGGCGGGUCGGCAAGUCAGGCGUGAAAUCCCCAGGCUCAACCUGGGAACUGCGCUUGAAACUGCCGGUCUUGAGUAUCGGAGAGGGUGGCGGAAUUCCUGGUGUAGAGGUGAAAUUCGCAGAUAUCAGGAGGAACACCAAUGGCGAAGGCAGCACUCUGGGACGUGACUGACGCUGAGACGCGAAAGCGUGGGGAGCAAACAGG